rnacentral:tRNA from 6 species
CGGGAUGUGGCUCAGUUUGGCUAGAGCGCAGCGUUCGGGACGCUGAGGCCGGAGGUUCGAAUCCUCUCAUCCCGACCA